AUCAUCUGCUGUUCUCUGCCGCAGAGAGGACUGGAGGUUCUUGCUUGGCUUCACUUUAAACCAUUUAAUCGGGGGUCUGGAGAUUUCGCUCUUCACUGUUUUUCCUGGCGCAAGCUUUUCCUGUUUCGCAUUUGUCUACUCACUCUCCCGCCUAUCUACCCCCCAUUCCUAUUUAUCCAUCCAGUAAACCUACAUUGAAUGAGUGGUUAUUAUGUGUCAUGUGUAAAGUAGGGAAAACCGGGUUCCUCCUGCCCUCAAAGAGGUUCUGGUC
rnacentral:lncRNA from 1 species